AAGUCGUAACAAGGUUUCCGUAGGUGAACCUGCGGAAGGAUCAUUACCAAAUCCAAAAAAAUACCCAAACCCCAUGUGAACUAUUGUAUAGUCUGUCUUUGGGAGUAGGUAGUUUUUUUUUGUUUAUUCAAAAUUAUACUCCUCUCCCAAUAGAGUCCAGAUCGCAUCUUUUACCGGAAGUGAUCUAGAUUCGAAAACACCCCCUUUUUUAAACCACUUGAUUUUAUGUUGGAAUUUUACUUUUAUUAAUUUAAUAAAGGACAACUUUUAACGGCGGAUCUCUUGGCUCGU
rnacentral:misc_RNA from 1 species